rnacentral:misc_RNA from 1 species
CUCUGAAACGUAAAGCAAGGAGGGAUGUCAAAGCUAAAUUUGAAGAAAGGUACAAGACAGGAAAAAACAAAUGGUUUUUCCAGAAGUUACGGUUCUAAACAGACAAUAAAUU